rnacentral:lncRNA from 1 species
CAUUGUGUGUUUGUGUUCUAAAUUUUGACUUGUAAGUCAAUUUAAUAUGAGAUGGUCAAUAUAAUGUUCAUUUUUUAAUAUUGUUGGAGUGAUUAUGAAUUGGCAUUACGAAUAAUGGUUAAUGUAUCUUGUUUUUUUAUUCUUUUUCAGUAAAGAUCUUGUUUUGUUAUUCAUUUGACUUAUUUGCGCUAUAAAGUGAUGGAUUCUGC